rnacentral:piRNA from 1 species
UGUCCCUUGCUUGCCCUUGGCCACUGC